CAACCCUGUCCUUAGUUACCAGCACGUUAUGGUGGGCACUCUAAGGAGACUGCCGGUGACAAACCGGAGGAAGGUGGGGAUGACGUCAAGUCAUCAUGGCCCUUACGGCCUGGGCUACACACGUGCUACAAUGGUCGGUACAAAGGGUUGCCAAGCCGCGAGGUGGAGCUAAUCCCAUAAAACCGAUCGUAGUCCGGAUCGCAGUCUGCAACUCGACUGCGUGAAGUCGGAAUCGCUAGUAAUCGUGAAUCAGAAUGUCACGGUGAAUACGUUCCCGGGCCUU
rnacentral:rRNA from 1 species